CACGCAGGCGGUUUGUUAAGUCAGAUGUGAAAUCCCCGGGCUCAACCUGGGAACUGCAUCUGAUACUGGCAAGCUUGAGUCUCGUAGAGGGGGGUAGAAUUCCAGGUGUAGCGGUGAAAUGCGUAGAGAUCUGGAGGAAUACCGGUGGCGAAGGCGGCCCCCUGGACGAAGACUGACGCUCAGGUGCGAAAGCGUGGGGAGCAAACAG
rnacentral:rRNA from 1 species